rnacentral:rRNA from 1 species
ACAAAAUCGGAGGCCCCGACUGUUUACUAAAAACACAAUUCAGAGCAAUGAUGAAAAUCAUAGUAUUCUGGAUGAAAUUUGCCCGAUGCCAUUAACAUAAAAGAGGUAAUGGGUUACUGUUACUAAUUGAAAGUCUGGUUAAUAGCGGUCUUAACUAUGAGGAUCCUAAGGUAGCAAAAUCAGUUGGCCAUUAAAUGUGGUCUGGUAUCAAUAGUGUAACGAUGGUCUCACUGUCUCUACAACUUGCUCAGUGAAAUUGAAUUAUCCGUGCAGAUGCGGAUUGCCUCCAGGUGGGACGGGAAGACCCUAG